ACGUAAAGAUGGCGACCGGCGCACGGGUGAGUAACACGUAUCCAACCUGCCGAUAACUCGGGGAUAGCCUUUCGAAAGAAAGAUUAAUAUCCGAUAGUAUAUUAAAACCGCAUGGUUUUACUAUUAAAGAAUUUCGGUUAUCGAUGGGGAUGCGUUCCAUUAGUUUGUUGGCGGGGUAACGGCCCACCAAGACUACGAUGGAUAGGGGUUCUGAGAGGAAGGUCCCCCACAUUGGAACUGAGACACGGUCCAAACUCCUACGGGAGGCAGCAGUGAGGAAUAUUGGUCAAUGGACGAGAGUCUGAACCAGCCAAGUAGCGUGAAGGAUGACUGCCCUAUGGGUUGUAAACUUCUUUUAUAUGGGAAUAAAGUAUUCCACGUGUGGAAUUUUGUAUGUACCAUAUGAAUAAGGAUCGGCUAACUCCGUGCCAGCAGCCGCGGUAAUACGGGGGAUCCGAGCGUUAUCCGGAUUUAUUGGGUUUAAAGGGAGCGUAGGUGGAUUGUUAAGUCAGUUGUGAAAGUUUGCGGCUCAACCGUAAAAUUGCAGUUGAAACUGGCAGUCUUG
rnacentral:rRNA from 1 species